rnacentral:tRNA from 1 species
GGUUCCGUGGUCUAGUUGGUUAUGACAUUUCGUUAACAGUUCAGUUAACACCACCGAAAAGGUCCCCGGUUCGAGCCCGGGCGGAAUCA